rnacentral:rRNA from 1 species
UACGUAGGUGGCAAGCGUUGUCCGGAAUUACUGGGUGUAAAGGGAGCGCAGGCGGAACUGCAAGUUGGGUGUUUAAUCUACGGGCUCAACCCGUAUCAGCAUUCAAAACUGUGGUUCUUGAGUAAUGCAGAGGUAGGCGGAAUUCCCGGUGUAGCGGUGGAAUGCGUAGAUAUCGGGAGGAACACCAGUGGCGAAGGCGGCCUACUGGGCAUCAACUGACGCUGAGGCUCGAAAGCAUGGGUAGCAAACAGGAUUAGAUACCCUGGUAGUCCAUGCUGUAAACGAUGAUUACUAGGUGUGGGAAGAUUGACCCUUUCCGUGCCGCAGUUAACACAAUAAGUAAUCCACCUGGGGAGUACGACCGCAAGGUUGAAACUCAAAGGAAUUGACGGGGGCCCGCACAAGCAGUGGAGUAUGUGGUUUAAUUCGAAGCAACGCGAAGAACCUUACCAGGUCUUGACAUCCAACGACCGCCUAAGAGAUUAGGCUUUCCUUCGGGACGUUGAGACAGGUGGUGCAUGGUUGUCGUCAGCUCGUGUCGUGAGAUGUUGGGUUAAGUCCCGCAACGAGCGCAACCCUUAUUACUAGUUACUACGCAAGAGGACUCUAGUGAGACUGCCGUUGACAAAACGGAGGAAGGUGGGGAUGACGUCAAAUCAUCAUGCCCUUUAUGACCUGGGCUACACACGUACUACAAUGGCUAUUAACAGAGAGAAGCGAGACCGCAAGGUGGAGCAAACCUCAGAAAAAUAGUCUCAGUUCGGAUUGGGGGCUGCAACCCGCCCCCAUGAAGCCGGAAUUGCUAGUAAUCGCGGAUCAGCAUGCCGCGGUGAAUACGUUCCCGGGCCU